rnacentral:tRNA from 1 species
GACAUCAUAGCCAAGUGGUUACGGCGACAGAUUCGAAUGAUCCAGUAGAUAUCUGUUUCCCUUCGGGAGCGCAGGUUCGAAUCCUGCUGGUGUCG